rnacentral:lncRNA from 1 species
GGUGUUGGGAAGCUCUCCCACUCCUCCUUGGGUCUUCUAGCUUCUUCAAUGGUGAUUUUGCCCCUUUUGGGUUGAGGAAGAAGAUGGGUCACAAAUUGGAGAUGGAGAUGCGAAGGGGAGGCGCAAAUGGAGCAUGGAGCAGCUGCCAAGAACCUUGGGAAAGGCUUUGCAUCUUCUCUUUGGUUCCAAUUUCUUCCUUAUCUCUUCAAUUUGUAGAACCCUAAGUUCUCCUCCA